rnacentral:rRNA from 1 species
UUCCGGUUGAUCCUGCCGGACCUGACUGCUAUCGGAUUGAUACUAAGCCAUGCGAGUCUUUGUAGUAAUACAAGGCAGACGGCUCAGUAACACGUAGUCAACCUACCCUAUGGACAAGAAUAAUCUCGGGAAACUGGGCAUAAUUCUUGAUAGAUCAUAAUGCCUGGAAUGGUUUAUGGUUAAAAUGAUUCGUCGCCAUAGGAUGGGACUGCGGCCUAUCAGCUUGUUGGUGAGGUAAUGGCCCACCAAGGCGAUUACAGGUACGGGCUCUGAGAGGAGAAGCCCGGAGAUGGGUACUGAGACACGGACCCAGGCCCUAUGGGGCGCAGCAGGCGAGAAAACUUUGCAAUGUGCGAAAGCACGACAAGGUUAAUCCGAGUGAUUUCUGCUAAAGAAAUCUUUUGCCAGUCAUAAAACCACUGGUGAAUAAGGGGUGGGCAAGUUCCGGUGUCAGCCGCCGCGGUAAAACCAGCACCUCAAGCGGUCAGGAUGAUUAUUGGGCCUAAAGCAUCCGUAGCCGGCUUUGUUAGUUUUCGGUUAAAUCCAUGUGCUCAACGCAUGGGCUGCCGAAAAUACUGCAUGGCUAGGGAGUGGGAGAGGUAGACGGUACUCAGUAGGAAGGGGUAAAAUCCUUUGAUCUAUUGAUGACCACCUGUGGCGAAGGCGGUCUACCAGAACACGUUCGACGGUGAGGGAUGAAAGCUGGGGGAGCAAACCGGAUUAGAUACCCGGGUAGUCCCAGCUGUAAACGAUGCAGACUCGAUGAUGCAUUGGCAUAAUAGCCAGUGCAGUGUCGCAGGGAAGCCGUUAAGUCUGCCGCCUGGGAAGUACGUACGCAAGUAUGAAACUUAAAGGAAUUGGCGGGGGAGCACCACAAGGGGUGAAGCCUGCGGUUCAAUUGGAAUCAACGCCGGA